rnacentral:rRNA from 1 species
AGUGAACGCUGGCGGUAGGCCUAACACAUGCAAGUCGAACGGCAGCACAGUAAGAGCUUGCCCUUACGGGUGGCGAGUGGCGGACGGGUGAGGAAUACAUCGGAAUCUACUUUUACGUGGGGGAUAACGUAGGGAAACUUACGAUAAUACCGCAUACGACCUACGGGUGAAAGCAGGAGAUCUUCGGACCUUGCGCGAUUGAAUGAGCCGAUGUCGGAUUAGCUAGUUGGCGGGGUAAAGGCCCACCAAGGCGACGAUCCGUAGCUGGUCUGAGAGGAUGAUCAGCCACACUGGAACUGAGACACGGUCCAGACUCCUACGGGAGGCAGCAGUGGGGAAUAUUGGACAAUGGGCGCAAGCCUGAUCCAGCCAUGCCGCGUGAGUGAAGAAGGCCUUCGGGUUGUAAAGCCCUUUUGUUGGGAAAGAAAAGCAGCAGGUUAAUACCCCGCUGUUCUGACGGUACCCAAAGAAUAAGCACCGGCUAACUUCGUG